UGCCAGCCGCCGCGGUAAUACGGAGGGAGCUAGCGUUUUUCGGAUUUACUGGGCGUAAAGAGCGUGUAGGCGGCCAACUAAGUGGAAGUGAAAUCCCAAGGCUCAACCUUGGAACUGCUUCCAAAACUGGUAGGCUAGAGAAUGGUAGAGGAUGGUGGAAUUCCUAGUGUAGAGGUGAAAUUCUUAGAUAUUAGGAGGAACAUCAAAGGCGAAGGCAACAAUCUGGACCAUUUCUGACGCUGAGACGCGAAAGCGUGGGGAGCGAACAGGAUUAGAUA
rnacentral:rRNA from 1 species